rnacentral:rRNA from 1 species
AUUGAACGCUGGCGGCAGGCCUAACACAUGCAAGUCGAACGAGUGGCGGACGGGUGAGUAAUGUCUGGGGAACUGCCCGAUGGAGGGGGAUAACUACUGGAAACGGUAGCUAAUACCGCAUACCAUCGGAUGUGCCCAGAUGGGAUUAGCUAGUAGGUGGGGUAAAGGCUCACCUAGGCGACGAUCCCUAGCUGGUCUGAGAGGAUGACCAGCCACACUGGAACUGAGACACGGUCCAGACUCCUACGGGAGGCAGCAUUGGGGAAUAUUGCACAAUGGGCGCAAGCCUGAUGCAGCCAUGCCGCGUGUAUGAAGAAGGCCUUCGGGUUGUAAAGUACUUUCAGCGUGGAGGCGUUACUCGCAGAAGAAGCACCGGCUAACUCCGUGCCAGCAGCCGCGGUAAUUC